rnacentral:misc_RNA from 1 species
AUAGUAGCAUGAUGAUGUACCUCAAAACACAAAUAUGAUCUUAUGUUUCUCUAAUGCCUUAAACAAAAGUAGAGAUCACAAUUGAACAAUCCUCUAGAAGACUAAGAGAAACAAGAAGACAAUGACAUCAUUAGUCAUUUAAGUUCAAAUAAAAGAAUAAUAUGAAUUCAAGAACAUGCGGGCCUCAAACAGGUCAACCAAUCUCAUCACUCCG